AGAAAAAAUAAAUCAUUCAUUCCAACUCGGGCAAUCGGGUGGCGCCAGAACUUCCCCGGCGAAGCCAGGAAAUUUCCCCCUGCUUUCCAGAGAAGAAGAGAUUUACCAGGAACCUCUGCGUACCAAGCGCUAUGCCAGUGCUAGGUAUGCAGCGGUCAGUCAACCUGCUGAGGUCCCCACCCCACAGAAGUGACGUGUAGUGGGGUGAGGGGUGUGAAAGGCCACGAAGACGCUGAGGCUGGCUAAGAUCAAGUGAGCACGGCAGACACCUGAGGCGGGAGGAAGCUCGGGGCACGGGAAGACGGAAAAUAAGGUCUGGGGACUACGGUCUGACCGCUUGCCAGGUGCUGCUGGAUCUGCGCCAGGCCACGGGACAGCCAGGAGCGAGGCCAGGGACCAUGUCCUUCAUGCCCAGCACCUCCCACAACGGCAGCACUAUUGUCCACUUGAGCCAGUAUUUGAUGGAAGCCCAUCACCCCCCGGACCACAGGCCCCUGAGCGCAGAAGCCAUGGCUCUUCCACCAAGUGA